ACUGGAAACACAGGUUAUAUCACCAAGGCUUUGACUGAAACAUCAUGUUUUCAGAUAUGACCAGAAGGCUUUAUGGGACUAAGGUUGACUUUAUGGAACCAAUAAAGUACCAUCUUGGAAAAACUGGCUCUAGGGUUCCCAGACUUACAGAAACUAAACUUCCCACAUUAAAGGCCUGAUAGCUCACACUAUCCAGGAAAUAUCCUCUGCUACCAAGUCCCAACAGAUGAUUCAACUGGUCCUUAAUGAAUAAAAGGUGAUCAAACAAGAAAA